AACUGUCUUUUCUUAGUUACCAAGAUGUCCAUUUGCUGUUUGGCUCUGAAGAUGGGGUUGACUUGUUCAGUCUUAUCAUCAAAAGUGUAAUCACUCUGCCCUCUGUAAAGACCCUUACCCGGCUGCAAGAAAUCAUGCCAAGUGGGCCCUACAAGUCCGAGUGUCUCUACAGGCAGACAUUUCAGGCUUUCUCUGAGAUGCUCCAGAGUUUGGUGGUAAAAGACCCACAUUUGGAAAAUCUUGACAUCAUUUUUAAGGUAAACAGGAUAUUAGGGGAAGAUGGAAAACUAUUCCUAUUAACUGAUGAAAGUGUAA
rnacentral:lncRNA from 1 species